rnacentral:misc_RNA from 1 species
CUUAAAGAAGCGAUAGGAAGUCUUUAAGUGUAUUCGGUGCAAACCGUAUACGAGUGUCCCGGCACCUACUAUCUGACGAAGCCCCGGGAUAGGCGGUAAUGUAUUCUUUUGUGAGGAAGAAUAAGCCUUCACAGGCCAGCCUAUGCUGAGCGCGUCAGUGGUAGUGGUUCGUACAGCGCCCUUUCUGGUCGGCUCACAUCGAGCAGAUUGCGUAUGAGAAUGCUAUACCAGCCCUCAGAUGCAGUCAUAUUACGGACGUGUGGCUACUUUAGUCCUAGGUAAGUAGUGUUCGUAGUAUGUGUUAUAGGGAGACUUGAAGUCCUAGCAAGCCUACCUUAUGGCACGCAACUGUGUCUGUCGUAUUACUGGGAUAAUGCAUAUGUCUGUGCGUCUCGGAGAUACUCAUGCGAUGUCAUAUGAGAUUGACCAACCGAAUUGCCGAUGUCAAUCUUCAUCUGGCGUUUGCACUGAAUAUCUGCGGCCUCCUAUUGACAGUC